rnacentral:lncRNA from 1 species
GGCAGAUCCUCUCAGCAGCCCGGCCCGGCUUGGGGCCCCAGCCCUGGGCGCCGCAGAGCUCGGGUCACCUGCAUUCUGGGCCGCGUGCUCAGCCAGGUGCGCAGGCAGCAGCCCGGGGCGCCACGUUGCACGUGGCAACAGGUGCCGCGCGGUGCUGGGCAGCCGCUGGCGUGGGGCGCGCCGGCACUUAGCCCGGGAGCGCGCGGGACCUCGGGAUCGGGCCCCGGGAGCGCGAGAGGAGGGAGCGAGCGGGCAGCCCAGCCCAGCCAGCCCACCUGCCGAGCGGAGCCGGGCGGAGCGCGCGGGAGCCUCGGGGGCCGGCGUCCCGAGGUACGGCCCGGCGCGUCGGUCAAGUUUCUCGGGGUGCAGCGCCCUGCGACGCCGCCUGUCCUUUGUCUCCCACGGUGACGGGGGGACAGAGGCGGCCGCGCUCUGCUAUUUACAAGUUUCCCGAACUCCCCGCCCUGGCUCCACCCCCGGCGGCCCGGGAGGCGGGGAGGCUGGGCUCCCGGACUCGGGGUUCCCGCCUGGCACAGCAGCCGCCGCCGGCGUGCGGGCGGGGGUGGGACGAGUGCCCAGGUGCAGGCGCUCCCCCGCGGGCACGGAUUGCACCGCGGCCUCCCGGGUGGGCCUGGCGCGCCGCCGCCGGGGGUCCCCAGGGCGCGCCGCCCUGCGUCUCGGCGCCCCGGAGGGCUGGGCUGGCCCGGUGGCGCUGCGGGCUCUUUGGAGGCUCCUUGAAGACAGGGACUGUCUUGUUCACCAUUGUGUCCCUAGCGGAGCAGCUGGCACAUGGUAGGCGAUUAAUGAAUGUUUGUUGAAUGAAUGCAAGCUCUUGUAGUAAAAGGUCACUUUAUAGUAGGGUAAGGAAACUGGCUGGGUGAUGCAUGAAGUAACUGACCCUCACUUAGCUUCUGUGGGACCAGUGCUGUUGUAUGGGUCCCUCUUUUUGCAGCUAAUUGGAGGCUCUGAAUAUAAGAAAAAUUACAUAAGGAUUAUUUCCUUCUUGAAAGUCUCUAAUAUUAAGAGAUUAAUAGUAAGGAAAUUGAUAAGAUUUGGGUUGGUAACUAAAAUGUCUUGUUUAUGUAAUAGCGGGGAAUAGAAUUUUUCUCAACUGUAAAUGUGGAUUAAGUUAAACCACAUUGCCAUCUUGCUUAGAAUAGCUACACUAGGAAGUUAGUAUCUAGGAAGAGAGAUGUUAUUUUAUUUAACUUCUGAUUAAAAUACUUUGUACAGAGGUUGAAAUCAUUUGGAGAAAGGUGUGAGUGGAUACUGGAAUUAUUCAUUUAAAAAAAUUGGACUAUUGAAUUCCUCAAUAAUUAAUUGGGUAAGCAUGAGCAGAACAUUUCUCUCCCAUUUUUAAGUAAAAAUCUUCAUUGCAUCCAUCUCUGCUUUUAAACUUGGAGCCAGCCUAUCAUGCCAUCAGGGCCCGUGGAUCCGUGAGAAUGGGAGCAGUGGUCCUGGCCUCAGGCAGUUUGAAAUUUGUUGGCCAUAACUGAACUGCAGAUUACCAUUAAGGAUGGAAUCAGCAUGCUAUUGAAUUGUUUGUUGAGAAUUUAUUGCUGAGGGUAAUUAUUUAGAGAUUUCCGUCUUGGUUGACUUGCAUGUACCAAUGAUUUUAUUUUAUUUUACUUUUUUUUGAGGAAGAUUAACCCUGAGCUAACUACUGGCAAUCCUUCUCUUUUUGCUGAGGAAGACUGGCCCUGGGCUAACAUCCGCGCCCAUCUUCCUCUAUUUUAUACGUGGGAUGCCUACCGCAGCAUGGCUUUUGCCAAGCGGUGCCAUGUCCGCACCCGGGAUCCGAACUGGUGAACCCCGGUCUGCCACCGAGAAGCGGAACGUGCAAACUUAACUGCUGUGCCACCGGGCUGGCCCCCGUACCAAUGAUUUUAAAGACUGUCACAGUCAGGCCUUGGGAGCCAGACUCAGGGAUCAUUUUAAUGGAGCCAAAGACUUUGUAUUAAAUACUUAGCCUUAGAAAUAUAAAGCUAAACAAAGCCCAUUUUGUGAAUUUCCAAAUUGUCUAGCACAACAGCAUGCAUAUUGAAUGUCUUGAAUGUCUUUUUUAAAAAAAAUUAUACCAUCGAUUCCUCCAAGUCUAUUGAGGACAGAUUCUAAGAUCCCAUUGGCUCCCUCUUCCUACACUCCCAUCUAAGAAAUACAAAAAGUAGCCAAUUUCAGAGCAAUGAGAUUUUCUUCUGUUUAUGAGGGUAAUGGAGAGGAUUUGACUGGAUUUCUUGCUUCCUGAGGUCCAUGUUGUAUUCCUUUGUUCUCCUGGCAUACUCCCAGGUUUAGCCAUCCUGGAACUCCAGAGUGAUGAUGGGGAGGGGACCUGACAGGUGGAGGUGUACUCACCUUCAGGGCCAGAGACUCCCAUUAAGCAGAUGCUAACUACCGAAGCCAGUACCAGUGAGUGAAUCUUCUUUAUUCCUUGGAACUGUAGCUCUGAGUCAAACCAGCUUGUCUUCUCAAAUACUAGAGCC